UACGUAGGGUGCAAGCGUUGUCCGGAAUUAUUGGGCGUAAAGAGCUCGUAGGCGGUCUGUCGCGUCUGCUGUGAAAACUCGGGGCUUAACCCCGGGUCUGCAGUGGAUACGGGCAGACUAGAGUCAGGUAGGGGAGAACGGAAUUCCUGGUGUAGCGGUGAAAUGCGCAGAUAUCAGGAAGAACACCCGUGGCGAAGGCGGCUCACUGGACCGGAACUGACGCUGAGGCGCGAAAGCUAGGGGAGCAAACGGG
rnacentral:rRNA from 1 species